CAGCCAGCCCCGGCCAACAUCGACCGGGUAUUGUCGCGUCUGCGCUUGCGUCACUGUUAUCCAGGACUAUCAACCUUGCCUCAAUUCCUGAUCAUCCGUUUUCCGUGUCCCCGUUCGUGCUCGUGUGUGCGCGUGUGUGCCGGGGGCUCCGUGUACACACGCACGUGUACACGCGUGUAUACGUGCGCGCCACGGACACGCGGCGACUCGCGCGCGGAUAUCAUCGUCCCUCACGAGAGAGCGAGGCGUCCGUCAUGCGUCGAGCCCGAUCUCGCGCGGCCGAUCGAAUCGAUGGACGUUCGAGGUUUCUCGCAUUCGCGGAUAGUCAUUUUCUGCAUGAUCAAUGAAGCUCCAAAUAUGCGAAAACCGACGCGCGUUAUCGGCGAAACGAUUGUUUCCUGGGAGCAGCAUUUAACACGUUAAUAACGUUGAGCCACUACGAUUUUGUUGCCGACUCGCCGUUGGCGAAGAAGAUAAACGUAACACCCACCAGUUUAUGAUAAAGUAAACUUGAUCAAUUCUCUAAUAUAACCCGGUGCUAAUAGGAAAGUUAUCAGAACUUCCUAUAUUUUUCGCCAUCAGAUUAUUGAAAUAAUUAAAAAUUUCUUUAACGAGCGAGAAAAGAAAUAAAAAAUAACUAAAUGUAUUACGAGUAUUCACACAUAAAAGACACUUUUUAAAUUAAAAUGAAUAUUAAUUCAUAUGAUCUUCAAAUAAAGUGCGAUGAAUCGUAAUCGGAAAUUGUAAAUACAUGCCUUAGCGGUUUGGUUAAUUUGUCCACCGAUUUGUACAUCGACAUCGUACACGGAACUGCAUGCCGAUUGCUACUGUAUCACCCAGUGACAAGUCGUUUGCCGAUUUGUCAAGAUUAUUGAUGGUCGUAUCAAUGGAUAAAUGCUUUACGUCCGACUGCACUCGUCGUGCGAGUUAUUGUUGCUUCAGCAAAAUUAGUAGUCCCGCAAAAGUAUUCCAGUUAAAGCGAAGAUAUACGAAUACCCGAGCGAAUACCGAAGCAAGAAGGUAGAUAGUUGCAAGAAUGUAUACAUAAAAAUAGUAAUAUAAUACGAGUAAUAUAAUACAGAUAUAAUACAGAUUU